UACGUAGGGUGCAAGCGUUGUCCGGAAUCAUUGGGCGUAAAGCGCGUGUAGGCGGCCCGGUAAGUCCGCUGUGAAAGUCGAGGGCUCAACCCUCGAAUGCCGGUGGAUACUGUCGGGCUUGAGUGCGGGAGAGGCGAGUGGAAUUCCUGGUGUAGCGGUGAAAUGCGCAGAUAUCAGGAGGAACACCAAUUGCGAAGGCAGCUCGCUGGAACGUAACUGACGCUGAGACGCGAAAGCGUGGGGAGCAAACAGG
rnacentral:rRNA from 1 species